UGGAGAGCUUGGUUGCACGCGGGCCUUGUGUAGGGGAGUGGAACUGAGGAGAAACUGCUACGGAAAAGUCUCUCAGGAGAAGUGUUUCUAUUGCUCCUUGCUGCUGCUGUUCUGUGAUCCAGUGAGUGAUGAAUGUGUCCUAAAGGUCUGCAGGAAGUCUAUAACAAAGAUUUUUAUGGAAUGUGGAUGUGAAAGAUACCAUGAUAGUGGCAAGAUUCCAUAAGUCUCUGAAAGGAAGAAGGAAAGCAUCCAAAUGGUUCACAUGGAAAGGAGCAAAUGUCCAGGCAAUCUUAGUUAUCCAAGGAACUGGAAUUGCACCCAGAAAUAUACAAGCAAUUAACUCCCCUUCUAUUCUGGCUCACUACUUCAUCUCUGAACGCUUUGUUGGCUCAUUUACAAUGGUGACAGGCAGCUUUAAUUAAGACAUAAAACUUGAA